CUGGUAGUAACCAGUGGUGCCUAAUACUGCCUUCUUAAAGCCAUAGCAAAGUACUCAAAUACUGGAUGUACAACUUUGAGGCCCCAUUCAGCUGAAAGAAGUGGUGCUAUCAAUGAAGUUCAUGCGGUCUGUGAGGAGUGAGUUAAACUCUGGGACAUAAGCUAAAGGAGCAGGGGCUCCUACUUCAGCAGGAUACCAAAGGCCAGUAGAAAAUACAGCAUAUUUAACUCCUAAGAGGGCAUCACCCAAGUGAAUGUCUUUCAAUAGAAAAGUCCAAGAAGAGUGACUGCGUAUUGAAGACGGGUUUGGUGAAUGAGUGCGUCCCAGACCGCACUUCCUACAUUCCACCUUCAGCUAGAGCGCCACCUCAAGGCAGACUGAUGGACAUGUCAAGACACAUGUUAUAAAUUCUAGGGGGGAGACUUAUGCAAAAGCAGGUAUGCCAUAAACACUGUUGUUUCCUGUCAUCAUGUGCACACCCAAGAUCCACUUAAGGGUGGCAGACAGCCACUCUUCUACUCUGCUGGACUGACAGUGAGUGUGUACUUCCACCACACUCAAAGCCAUGAACUGAUCAUAAAUUGAACAAAAACAAUAGCAUGGAAACAAACACUUCCUCUGUGUUUCUUACUUUUCCUUAUCUUAGUAUAUUAUUUCAGUCAUUACUAAAAAUUAAGAAGAAAUAACAUAAAAUACUUUGCUUCAAUGAACUUAUGUCCUAGGAUAGCAUUGUCCAGGAAAAUAUUCUGUGAGAUGAAAAAUGUGUAUGCCUGUUUUUCUAUUGGCCAUUCUACUCACCAGUAACUACUGAGCAGUUUUAUGAGGCUAGUAAGAGUGAGAACUGAAAUCCAAAUAGUAUUAAUAGUUCAGCUACAGUUAGCUGAUGAGAACUGUCCUUAAAGAAAAAAUUAAAACUACUGACUCUAUACAGUGAUUUAAAAAUUACUAUUUAGAAAUAUCAACAUUCUCAAGGCAAAACGACUUCUAGAAAUAAUGUCUACCAUGCCACCCAUAAAAAACAGUGACUCUGAGAAAGCAGAAUUAUUUAAGCAACCAUGUUUCUCUACUUAAAUACAAAAUCAAUUAUGAAAAAAUCAUGGCAGCACCUGAACACAAGCACUGUAAGCAUCACUGUGUACAUAAGAGGAAGAACCACAGCUAGCAACAAAUGCUGAAGCUCUCCUGGUUCAUAGUCACCUGAGCACAUCCACUGGACUUUAUCUCCUGGUAUUUUAUACAAUACCUUAUCCUAAUACUCAUCUGUGCUUCAGGAAGACUGUUUAUUAAAAACUGUAUAGGUGAAGGUGGACUGGAGGAGACAGUGGUACAAAGAGAAGAGGGAGAGGGAUCCCAGUAGAUGAAGGGAGAUAGAAGGAAAGAAGGGAAAGGAAAAGGCUGGGAAAGGCUCAGGGAGCAUAGUAAGAGCUCAGAGGAAGGGAGUGAAAGGGAUGGAGGGACCCAUGUGCUCCCUGCUGGAACUGGCUGUUGGAAGAGGUGUAAGCUUAUGUCCUUACUGGGAGGAGGGAAGGGGUGGCUGGGGAGUGAACAAAAAGAGGAAGUG